AGUAGAUUUUCUAAAUAAAAUGUGGCAACGCUGUGCAGAAAUGUCAUUUUAUUUUGUUUGUCUUGUCAAUGGCAUCUGAUGACAUCGUUGUUUGUUUACAUACGUGUUUGGAUUUAUUUUAUUAAAUUAAAUUGUUUUUUUACUUUUUACUUAUAGAUUAGCUAUAUAUAACAAAGACUUUUACUCUCUUACUUUAAAGUAAAAUAUUCAGUUUGUGUGUAAAUUUUUGAAUCAAACUUUAAAAUGGUGUUUAAAUGCUGUGUACCAAACAGGACUGAGAACGCUGCCUUAAUGUCAGGAUUGAUGUGUUUAUAAACUCUGCAAUGUUACAAAAAGAUACUUGAAAUAUUUUAAUUUUAUUAUGAGCUUUAAUUUUGGUACUUUCCUGUAAAUUGUGCCGUUAAUUUUUUAAAUAAAUAUUUUAAUUUU
rnacentral:lncRNA from 1 species